GCAAGUUAUUUGUCCACAAGAGAGAUCCCAAAAACGCCGUCUGCAUCAACGGAACCCCAGCGAAGAACAAAGGAGAAAAAGUAUUCUUCAAAAAUGGGUGGACUGCCAAUAGAGAAUACAUCUACAGCCAUAUCUUUGUCGCAAGUACCAAAAGAUCAAAAGUCAGCUGCCCCUGCUGUGCCCGAUUCAAAGCCAAAGAAGAAGAUUUGUUGCGCUUGCCCUGAUACUAAGAAGCUGAGAGAUGAAUGCAUUGUGGAGCAUGGUGAAUCCGCUUGUGAGAAAUGGAUUGAAGCUCAUCGUAAAUGCCUUCGAGCUGAAGGCUUCAAUGUCUGAAGCAUAGCAGCUGGCCUCUGAAUAGACAAGCGGAGAUACAAAAUUUUGUCUAAUGCUUAGUUUGUUUUGGCACCAUACAAGCUCAAUUAGCUAAAUAUUUACAGUUUUCUUAUUCAAAAGAAUUUGUUUAUCAAAUACAGGAAUAAAGCAAGGAAGUUGUGCACAAUUGAUUUGCUGGAGCAGGAAAUACGAGAUAAUUCGUCUUGAUUAUUUGAAUUGUGUAAAGGGUUAGGAUAGGUCGCCUAGCGUUGUCCUUGUCUGUAACAGUAGCUUUAGUACAUGAAUUAGCGUUAUUUAUGUAUUUUCGUAUUCCUUGAUUUCCGUGAUUACUUGUGUUGCUUUCAUUUCGGCCUGUCUGAUUACAAUGCUCGGUUUUAGUUUUGGAUCUUUGUAUU